ACAAAGCCCGCUGACGCCGUCUUUUCAUGUUCAGGCCUUCAGGAAUGGCCGAAAUUCCAAAAUUUGUGGUGGACUCUACCUGGCCCUCGUCGUUUCAGAGGCCGGUCAAGGGCAAUCAAAGGGUGUUUUCGACUCCGUACGGAUACCUUCCACCCCAAUAUGAUAUUAGUUUGAGGAUGGGCUGCAUGAAGCGCAGUUACACGGCUGAUGUUUGUUGGACACUCGUCAUUUCAUUUGCAUUCAUCAAUCAUUGGGCUCGAAAGAACUGGCUGAUUCAUCGUCACUGGAGGAUUCACUGCUGCUGCUGCUGUGUUCCAGGGACACUACAAGCCCGCCGGUGUUGGUGCAGUGGCGACAUUUGCACCCAGGACUACAGAUUUUGCCAGAUUUCCGGCAUUUGCAUCGCUUUGACUCGCAGCUACCCUUCUUGCAGCUGCAACCCUUGGUCAAAGCCAAGACCCGUUGCCUCACCACCUCUGCAUGCUCCUCUAGCUCCCAAUGAAUAGAAAGUGCAUUGCCACACAAAAGCCACCCAUUUCCAUUCAAUGGUGGGCACUGUACUGUGGGUCGCUCAGCCUGGCGCCACAUAUCCAAUACCCAGCAAGCACGUUUCCAGUGAAGAAGCAGGGCAGACGCUGAUGGUACACAAUCAUCUUCCGAAUCAACUCGUUGCCAAACAGCAUCCCUGAUCUUUGACAGCCAGGUAUUGUGCUGGUCCACUGGUGUCUCUGUAGCUUGUUGUUUGAACAAUGGGUGCGGGCUGUUGGCUUCAAAAGCUGCAACAUGCUUUUGAUAGUAUGCUGUGCCCACGAGUCGUAGGAAUGCCAAGUAUCCACGCUGUCCGUUCUGCCUGUGUGUGUCACUCAGCAGUCCCAAUGCAUCCACGCCGCUCGUGAUGAAUGAAGCAUAUUAUUGGAACAUGAUCUUGUAGAAUGUUAAUUUGCUGAUGCCAGAGAAGUAGGACAAGUAGUCGCACCCAGUCAGAACGAAUAGUGCUUGCAGUAGCAUCAGACGACUAUCGCUGGGCACCUUGGCCAAAUCUGGAUCGCCAUUGAUGGCCUUGGCCAAUUUGCUUAGGAGCAAAAACCUCUGUUCCAGUGCACCAGGCAUAUCCAGUUGUACAGCAAUACUUCUGUCUGCAACUUCCCGUCCAGAUAGGGCGACAUGAUAGGUGUCCGUGUCUGGACUGUACACGACUACUGGGUCGUUUGCUGCCGCGUGACGCCACACUCGAAAGUCGGCCUCUUCUGCAUCGGACGCAUACACGUCUAGCUGUUUUACCACUGGAUCACCGUACGCUGUCCCAAGUGCCUUGCCAGUGAAGUCCCCGUCCAAGCCACCUCCGGUCACAAAGGCUUGAUGCGGUUGCCGGAGAAAGUGCAGGGAAUUGAAGAGGCUAAACGUGGUAAUAAAAUUAACUAACAUUCUCUUGCAUUUCCGACAAGACAAGAACUUCCUCCAGCUCUUUGGCAGUGCCAUGUCUCCGGUGAUUGACUCAUGGUUGCAGCACAGCUCUGAUGUGCACAGGGUAGACGCAUCGCCCACGGCAUCACUUUGCUCCCGAAGAAGAUCCUUCGGGCUGACACCAGCUACGUUUGGGUGGUCGAAGACCAGGUGAACCGACUGUAUGCCCAACCUAUACCACGGCGUUAUCCACCGUUGGAUGAGGAACGUGGCAUAAUCCGCGAAUGUCCGGUACGCAAUCAAUGCUGUCGUUGAGGAGGGCUAGCGCUUGGGAUGCGGAGGAUCCGACUCUCAACAUACGCAAGAAUUAUUGCAGAACAAUGAGCCAUGGCCACUGCACGUUAGUCUGAGCGUGUUUGACAGUGACUGGGGUUCAUAAUUAUGAUGACUCCAUUGUCAAGGACAUAUGUGCUGGUCAGAUGAUGCAUAAUUCGACACUGCAUAUCCUGUUCUACACAUGUGUGCCAUUUCUGCGACCAUCUAUCAAGCUCUGGUAAAGUGAUGCUGUUUCUUGAUCGAUUAUACAUGAUCUUGGGUCAUAUCUGACAAGCACCCUUAACUGGAAUUACUUGCAAACUGUGGAAGCACCAACCUUUGUCAGUAACAUUAUACCUUUUGUUGGACGUCUACUUUCUUACGAAUUAGUGGUAGUGUAGCGUUGGCACGCUGGUGACUUUCACAGCGUAUAGCGUAUAUUUUUAGCUUAUCCCCGUACGUUAGCGUAUUCCCGUACGUUAGCGUAUCCUCAUACGUUAGUGUAAGGAGUCUGCCUGUGUAUAAAAGCUGCUGCUCACGAUUCUUUUCGUUGCCAGUUAGUUUACCUUCAUUUCAGUUCAGUUCAGUGUUUAAUAAAUAACAGUGUGUUCAUUGAGA